rnacentral:rRNA from 1 species
CUUCGGGAACUGUGAGACAGGUGCUGCAUGGCUGUCGUCAGCUCGUGUUGUGAAAUGUUGGGUUAAGUCCCGCAACGAGCGCAACCCUUAUCCUUUGUUGCCAGCGGUCCGGCCGGGAACUCAAAGGAGACUGCCAGUGAUAAACUGGAGGAAGGUGGGGAUGACGUCAAGUCAUCAUGGCCCUUACGACCAGGGCUACACACGUGCUACAAUGGCGCAUACAAAGAGAAGCGACCUCGCGAGAGCAAGCGGACCUCAUAAAGUGCGUCGUAGUCCGGAUUGGAGUCUGCAACUCGACUCCAUGAAGUCGGAAUCGCUAGUAAUCGUGGAUCAGAAUGCCACGGUGAAUACGUUCCCGGGCCUUGUACACACCGCCCGUCACACCAUGGGAGUG